CCCAUAUCCAGAAUAUUAUCCCCAAUAAAAAUAGCCCACUUCUUCUUCUUCUUCUUCUUCAUGUUCGAGGGUUUGAAGUGAACAUACACGGAUAGCCACUGCAGAUCUGUUUUGGAUUCGAGACCGACGGCGCCAACUUGUUAUUUCUUUCUAGACAUCUUCCAUCUUUAGCCCACACCGCCGCUACGGUAAAUCUACAAAUUUUCUAAAGAUUUCUUGCCAUGUCCAAUUGAACCUUGAAGAAUCCGACCCGUAUUCCGUACCCGUGUCAUGUCGUGUCGACACAGGUACUCCGGGCCGGAAUGAAGAGUCCGAGCAUCACAGGUUAAAGCAUCCCUAUGUACCGACUUAAACUGAUGAGAUCAAGUAGAUAAGUAAAUGUAUCUGUUUGCACCAACUUAAAACUGAUUAGAUUUAUUGAUUUGUUGAUAAGUAAAAGCGCACACACAUACCAAUUUAAAUUGAUUAGAUCAAGUAGAAGAUUAAAAGCACACAUAUGACCCAAUUGUGUGUAGUGAUUUCUAAUUCUCCCCAUUUCUGUAAAAACAAAUAUGAAUUUUAAUUAAUCGUUUCCAAUGAGACAACAAUAAUCAAGCUAAUCAAAAAAUACAUAUUUAAUAAUCUUGUGGUUAAGGUUUCAACCUUAUUAGCCAUUUGAGUUUGGCAUUAUUUAUUAGAUAUCUAUUGUGAAUCAUAUUAUGUGCUUUUUUAUGUGUUUUCUUUUAUACAAGCAUGCUCUUUAAUGGAUUUAGUGCUUGCUUGGUUACUCUUACAAGUGCUUAUAAGUUGGUCAAAUUCUAUUUUUAUCAUAGGACCCACAACCUCACAUUCCUUGGGAUCCGCUACUUGUAAGCACUUAUAAGAGUGGCCAAGCAAUUGUUCGUUGUUCUCAUAUGGGUGAUUUUACUUCUUACCAUGCUUCACAGAUGGUGUGAUAUGAGAUACCCGGAAGUGUUACUAGUGGUUGAAUGGAGAUCGCGUGAUUUUCCACGUUAUCAUUUCAUUCUUUGGACAGGCUCAAUUUAAUAAACAGUUUCGUUAUUCAGAGGCUUGAAGGAUAUUCUUUCUUGGUAGUAAAGUAGCAGAACACAAGUUCUUUCUUCCUCUUCGAAAUUGCUUACUAAAUGAAGAAAAAGAAACCAUCAUUGAGCAUUUUCUUGAGCUCCUAUUUAUUUUUGUUUGCACGGUUAUAUUUUUGUUCUUUGAGC
rnacentral:lncRNA from 1 species